CUCCAACAGAUAGGUCUAAAGCUUAUUCUCAGCCCCCUGUUCCACCCAAAAGGCCUGAGCCCACACCUGCUCCAGCUGUACCUUCAUACCGAAGCACUGCGCAGCCACCUUUCCAGCCUCCUUCAAUCAGUCCUGAGAUUAACAGAGAACAAAGCACCAAAUCCUUUAGGCCACCAGCUCCUUCUGUAGAUCGGAGCAAAAAGCCACCACUGAAUCGGCCUGCACUGCCAUUUGAGAAAGACAUCACAGGAGCAGGUUGGUAUUUAUUUGUGUCACAGAUGUUAACUGUCUAACAU
rnacentral:lncRNA from 1 species